rnacentral:rRNA from 1 species
ACGUAGGGCGCGAGCGUUGUACGGAAUUAUUGGGCGUAAAGGGCUUGUAGGCGGCUGGUCGCGUCUGCCGUGAAAUCCUCGGGCUCAGCUGGGGGCGUGCGUUUGGUACUGUCUGGCUUGAGUACGGGAGAGGAGAGUGGAACUCCUGGUGUAGAGGUGGAAUGCGGAGAUAUCAGGAGGAACACCGGUGGCGAAGGCGGCUUUCUGGCCCUUUACUGACGCUGAGGCGCGAGAGCGUGGGUAGCAAACAG